UAAGUAGCAGACCAGAACAGAACGUGGAUGGAAGUCUCUUUAACUCCAUACUCGUGUUCUUUCUUAAAAACCAGGAUUCAUACCCAGAAGUUUGCCUGAAUACCUGUCUGAAAGCUGCAAUCCUGUUUUCUCUGGGACCAAGUCUGAACCUCAAAGGCUAACGAAAGUUUAACCACUUUGGCCAGUAGGGGGCAGUGAAGCGCAGCGGAACAGGAAAAGGCUGCUGGCAAGAGAGGCUUUUUAAAGUCCAUUAGAACUUCAGCAACUCAAGAUGUUUCACACCCAGAGAGCUAC